UGAGGAAUAUUGGGCAAUGCCCGCAAGGGUGACCCAGCAACGCCGCGUGGAGGAUGAAUGUCGUAAGAUUGUAAACUCCUGUUAGAGGGGAAGAAUAGUACCGGUUGGACCGGUAUAUGACUGUACCCUCAGAGAAAGCCCCGGCUAACUACGUGCCAGCAGCCGCGGUAAUACGUAGGGGGCAAGCGUUGUCCGGAUUUACUGGGUGUAAAGGGCGCGCAGGCGGGAUAAAAAGUCAGUGGUGAAAUCCUACAGCUUAACUGUAGAACUGCCUUUGAUACUUUUAUUCUUGAGUUCGGGAGAGAGAGACGGAAUUCCUGGUGUAGUGGUGAAAUACUUAGAUAUCUGGAAGAACACCAGUUGCGAAGGCGGUCUCUUGGUCCGACACUGACGCUGAGGCGCGAAAGCGUGG
rnacentral:rRNA from 1 species